GAUGAACGCUAGCGAUAGGCCUAACACAUGCAAGUCGAGGGGCAUCACAUGAAGUAGCAAUACGGAUGGUGGCGACCGGCGCACGGGUGAGUAACACGUAUGCAACCUGCCUUCAACAAGGGGAUAACCCGUUGAAAGACGGACUAAUACCCUAUAACACAGGGGUCCCGCAUGGGAAUAUUUGUUAAAGGACAACCGGUUGAAGAUGGGCAUGCGUUCCAUUAGCUAGUUGGCGGGGUAACGGCCCACCAAGGCAACGAUGGAUAGGGGAACUGAGAGGUUUAUCCCCCACACUGGUACUGAGACACGGACCAGACUCCUACGGGAGGCAGCAGUGAGGAAUAUUGGUCAAUGGGCGAGAGCCUGAACCAGCCAAGUCGCGUGCAGGAAGAAUGUCCUAUGGAUUGUAAACUGCUUUUGCAGGGGAAUAAAGUGAGCCACGUGUGGUUUUUGUAUGUACUCUGCGAAUAAGGAUCGGCUAACUCCGUGCCAGCAG
rnacentral:rRNA from 1 species